rnacentral:tRNA from 1 species
GCUCUUGUGGCGGAAUUGGUAGACGCGCUAGAUUCAGGAUCUAGUGGGUGAAAGCCCGUGGAGGUUCGAGUCCUCUCGAGAGCA